CACCUCCUCUAUAUUCCACCUUGGUUUCUUCUUCUUCUUCUUUGGGUGAUGGGGUUUGUCCACCUAUGAUGUUGUGGGACACCAUAAUCAGAGGUUGACCAUCUUGAUCAAAGUCUGUUGAAAUACCAGGUCACAUAUUAACCCCGUUUUCACAGCUAAGCUGAAGAAGAAUCAGCUAAGAAAAGUGACGUCUGGAUUACCGCGUGUAUGUACAAGGGUUGUGAUUGUAUGUGUGCGACGCUAGUUGCCAAUGUUUACGAUCUGAAUGAUGCGAAACAACAAGAAGGAAAUUAAGUUAACAUUUUCCGUAAAUUUAAGAUAAAAUCAUUGUUCAGUGAUUUGUGAUCACAUAAAUUAUUCAUCGCGCAAUAUCUGUACUAUUACAAUCUAAUGUUCGUGGCUCAUUUUAUCAUCUGGAAAGUGGUGCCUCCUAGACUAGACCGUAUAUAUCAAACCCAAUUCGAUGAAAUUGAAUAAACGCGCCAACAGUGAGUUUGGUCACCCGUCCUAAUUAUAUGUAGCCAUUUGAUUGUGGUUUCCGUGUCGGAUGGUGGCAUAUGGUUCUUGUACACAUGGCGGAAGCAAAAUCACUUGUUAUGAUUCUAUUAUUUGGCGCUUCCAGAUUCCAUCCAUCCAGAUCCAGAAAAACAUUACAGAACCAACGUGAUUUAGUUUUUGAGCUAGCGUUAUAUACAAUUCCGGAAGUGAUGUUUUCGACGUAGGGGUCCGAACUACUCAAUCCUGAUAUGGGUUGUAUAAGCAAAUUACACUACUCUUACAAGCUGAACCAAACAUAUUUUAUAAACAUUAUUCGUGCGACUUAAUGCAAAAAUAGAACAGCUACAGUUAGUGAGUGAAACGAUAUCACUAUCAACAGUUUAAUCAUCUCUUAAAACAUUUAAAAUGAAAUUCUACAUCACAGUUCAUGUAUUUUACGCUUAAGCACAUGUACGCAUUACUAAAGAACGUAUAUAGAUUAAUUAGAUAAUAUUUAACAUGUAGAAAAA